rnacentral:rRNA from 1 species
AGUGGACGCGAGCAUCUGUGACCAAGGUUUUUGGAGCACUGAUGGAUGCCUUGGCACAGGAACCGAUGAAGAAGGACAUGAGGAGCCCGAUGGUCCCCGAGGGAGUCGUCAACCAGGCUUGUGAUCGGGGUUUCCGAUGGAAACCCGGCGGUCGUCAUGGGCUGUCUCACCCAUACCUGGUCCACAUAGGGCAUGUGGAGAGGGAACGCGGGAAGUGAAACAUCUCGGUACCACCGGGGAAAGAAAACAACCGUGAUUCCGUGCGAGCAGUGGCGCAAACUGGAUGAGCCAAACAACAUGCGUGUGAGACCCGGCAGGGGUUGUUGCGUAUAUGUGGGGUUGUGGGAUUUCUCUUUCACGGUCUGCUGACCGUGAAGUAUGGAACAAACCGUUGAUGUAGGCGAAGAAGGACAUGCGAAAGACACGUAGGGGUAAGACCCCAUGUGUCCAGAAACGUCAACAGCUCGUUGAAGAAACACCAAAUGGCACGGGGCCAAAUCCCGUAUAUGAAUCACAGGACCACCCGCUAAAGCCCAUUCCUGGUGACCGAUAGCGGAUGUACCCGUGAGGGAAUGGUGAAAAUACCGCGGGCGAGUGAAAUAAUACCUGAAACCGUGUGCCUACCGUGUGGGCGUUGCGCAUUGGUUAUCAGAUACUCGUGGCCUUGACAGAAUAAACCUGUUCCAGAGUUUCGGUGUGUUGCGAGGUUAACCGUGUGGGAAGCCGUGAAGAAGCAGUCCAGGAAGACGAUUUAGUAGCGCGCUCAAGACCUGAAGCGGAGAUGAUCUGGCCAUGGGCGGGUUGGAAGCGGCUGUAAAGAGGUCGUGGAGGACCGAACCCACCAGGGUUGAAAACCUGGGGGAUGACCUGUGGUUAGGGGGGGUGAAAGUCCAUUCAAACUCCGUGAUAACUGGUUCUCCAAAGCAUUCCGGUGGACAGCGUCGUGUGUUUCUUGCCGGAGGUGAGCACUGGAUGGAGCGAUGGGCCUACCCGAUUACGACCUUAAGCCAGCUCCGAAUGCCGGUAAGUGAGAGCGCGCGCAGUGAUGAACUGUGGGGAUAAGCUCCAGCGUCGAACAACCCAGAGCAUCGACUAAGGCGCCCUAAGCGUGCGCUUAAGUGGGAAAAAAAGGAUGUAUCGCAGGUGAACUCAAUGGGUGGCUUAACCAAGCAGCUCCUACCAGAAAAGUCAUGUAAUCUCACUGGUCCUGAAGUGAUUCCGCGCCGACAAUGUAGCGGGGCUCAAAAGCGCCACCGAAGUCGUAUCAUUCUAUGCCCUAACGGCGGCUGCUUGGUGGUGGGGGAAGCGUCGUGGUGCCGGGUGAAAACCCGCCGGAAGGCAGUGGGUGGACGGUUCAGGUGAAAUGCUGGCUGAUAGCAAUACACACGUAGAAACGUGUGCGCCGAUUGACUAAGGGUUCCUGGUCAAAGCUGAUCUGCCCAGGGAAAGUCGGGACCUAAAGGCGAGGCCGACCGGCGUAGUCGAUGGAUAACCGGUUGAUAUUCCGGUACCCGCUUUAGUGGCGUCAAACGAACCGAGGCGUCGCCGUCCGUGAGCCCGCUUCCGGGCAAGGGGGGGGGAGUGAGUGGAACGACAAACCGGACCAGACCUGCAAGUAGGUGAGUGAUGGGGUGACGCAGGAAGACUCCAUCGGGCGGUGGUUUGUCCCGGGGAGGUAGGUGUGAAGCCGUGAUGGGGCAAAUCCGUCACACAUUAAAGGCUGAGACCUGAUGCCGAACCGAUUGUGGUGAAGUGGAUGAUCCUAUGCUGUCGAAAAGCCUCUAGCGAGGUUUCUAUGGCGGCCCGUACCCUAAACUCGACUCGGUGGUCGGGUAAGAAAUACAAGCGUUCGGGUGGUGAACUGGUUGGAACUCGGCAAAAUGCCCUAACUUCCCCGGGAGGGGGCCAUCACCAGUGGGAGGGUUUACUCGCCUGAGCUGGGGUGGCCGCAAGACUCAACGAGCGACUGUUUAUAAACAUGGUCUUUGCAAGCCCAAAGGCGUCAUAUACGGACUGACGCCUGCCAGAUGCUGGGAACGUUAAAGGGACCGGUUAGUCUCUUCGGGGUUUGGCGAAGCUGAGAAUUCGCGCCAGUAAUUGCAGCGGUGGUAACUAUAACUUCAUCCUAAGGUAGCGAAAUUCCUUGUCGGGUAGUUCCGACACCUGCACGAAUAGCGUAAUGCGACUUCUCGACUGUCUCAACCCUAGGCCCGGUGAAAUUACACUACAAGAAAUGAUGCUCAUUUCGCCAAGGACGGAAGAACCCGGGACCUUUACUACAGUUUGUUUGGUGUUCGGUUCGACAUUGUAGGAUAGGUGGGGGAACUUUGAAGCGGCAGCGCCAACUGUUAUGUUGAGUCUCGUUGAAAAUAUUCUCACUCUGGUCGUGCUGGAUGUCUAACCUGGGUCAUUCGAUCCGGAUCGGGACAGUCUGAUAGGUAGUUUAACUGGGGCGGUUGCCUCUAAAAUAACAGAGCGCCCAAGGUUCCCUCAGCUGUUGGUAAUCAGGUGUUGAGUUAUGACGGGAGCUUGACUGUGAGACCGACGGGUCGAGCAGGGACGAAAGUCGGGACUAGUGAUCCGGCGGUGGCUUGUGGAAGCGCCGUCGCUCAACGGAUAAAAGGUACCCCGGGGAUAACAGGCUGAUCUUCCCCAAGAGUCCAUAUCGACGGGAUGGUUUGGCACCUCGAUGUCGGCUCGUCGCAUCCUGGGGCUGGAGUCGGUCCCAAGGGUUGGGCUGUUCGCCCAUUAAAGCGGUACGCGAGCUGGGUUUAGAACGUCGUGAGACAGUUCGGUCCCUAUCCGCUGCGCGCGUAGGAAUAUUGAGAAGGGCUGUCCCUAGUACGAGAGGACCGGGACGGACGAACCUCUGGUGUGCCAGUUGUCCUGCCAAGGGCAUGGCUGGUUGGCUACGUUCGGGAGGGAUAACCGCUGAAAGCAUCUAAGCGGGAAGCCUGCUUCGAGAUGAGUAUUCCCACCCCCUUUGAGGGGUUAAGGCUCCCAGUAGACGACUGGGUUGAUAGGCCGGAUCUGGAAGGCGGGUAACCGCUGGAGGUGACCGGUACUAAUAGGCCGAGGGCUUGUCCUCAGUUG